CCAGCCGCGCUCCCGCCUGUUACCCGCCAGCCCCGCUGCCCGAAGGCUCGUGCACUGUGCAGCGAGACUGCUUCACGCGCUCCGUUCCUCGACUUACCUACCGAGGCGCACGCAGCGAGCGGAAGGCGACGAGUCGGGUCUCCCUCCCGAGGAUGGAAGAGGAGGUCAGAGGGAGAUGCCCGCAGCCCGAGGCUGAGGAACGAACCCGGGGCGUCAGCUAGGGCGCCGUGGGGUCCGGAAGGCCUGGCCGGCCCCUCCGCAGUGAGCAGGAACUCAGUGAACCGCCCGGAGCAGAAAUGGGACGCUCGGGGACCCACCCCCGCGCUCCCCCUCCCGCCCCCAAACUGCAGAUUUUUAAGUUGUGCAGACUUGCAAUAAUUCCUCAGAGCCAGCUGCUCCAAGCUGUAGGCGCCCGGUGUUCCCGCCCCACAGCACGCAAUGGGACAACCGCCCCCCACCCAGCGCCUGCUGCCCGCUGGCCUCAGACGAGCACCCAGCAGGACCACACAGAGGCCUGUCCCCUCUCUUAUGAAAGAGGAUCCAAAGCAUUUGUCUACACUGCUGUUUGCAAGCCUCUGAAGAAGGUAACACCUACCAUAUUGGAUUUUCAUUGUUUAUUUUCAACUUGGCGCUGA
rnacentral:lncRNA from 1 species